rnacentral:lncRNA from 1 species
AUGCAUUUUUUGGUUAUCGGGAGGAGAUCCAGUUCGUGUUAUUUCAUCCGAAAACAGGAGCCACAGAAGAAGCUUCAGGAGGACUCUCCAGAAGCUCGAGGAAGAAAAUGCCGGGAAGGUCCUCUGUCAGCCCACGUUCUUGCUCUCCCCACUGCUUUGUCUGAGUUACUUGAGCAGCGCUGCCUGCUCCCACUGCUUCAGUAUCAGCUGCCCUCCGGAGAUAUCCUAAAGCAGUAACGAGUUCGGCUUCACCAGAUGCGCACACCACUGCAGAAGCUAGCUCCCCUCUGGCCACAUGCAUGUCAUAUCGAUGGCCCAAACACCUGGAUGGGAUUUUUACAGUAGCAUGAAGUCACGGUCAAAGCUUUGUGUUUGUGAACAAGUCUGAUAGCAGAUCAGAGAUGAGAUCAAAAGCUUAAUGGCUAAUCAGCUUGCCUUAUUAACAAUGUAAAUAAAACCAAAGUGGAAAGAUCA